UUUCAAUCUUGAUAAUUUCAUCUCUAAAACGUUUCUCUAACAGGGGAACUACUGUGUGUUGGUUUUAACAUUUACGGUCACAGCUAGCUAUCUAGCUAGCUAUCUUAAUAGUGAGUAUCUCUCAGUAUGAAUUUUUUUAUGUACAAUUCAAAUAAAGCUAGGGAAUUUUGAAGCCCAUAAAUUUUUACUAAUUCGUUUUGUCUGAUGGUUGAAUGAUAAAGGUGUGCAUCAUGUUGUUAAUUAGAUAGACACGGCUGUUUCGCUACGGUCAAACCGCGGACAAAAUUAAGAUGGCUUCCACAAUUUUUUUGGAAAUUUUGUAUUUUUAUCAUUUUUUAAAUUAUUGAAACUUUUUUUGUGUUGUUUUAAUUUUACUGCAUUAAAAAGUAUUAAAACGAUCUACUUUUCCCCUUUUUAAAUAUAUAAAUAUGUUAUACAUGUGUUUUAUAAAUUUCGAGUUAUUUCGUCAAACAAAACACACAAAACUAAAAAAAAACAUUAUUUUUGGCGAAAGUAUACCAUCUUUCCAACCUUGUGCCAACGUCGCGCUACUAGCUAUGGACUUGAAAAUUGGUAUGGGGGGCCUGGAAACAUGGUUCUAUUGGCCGGUACCGUGCACCGUUCGUCUCGCAAACUAUAACCUACUUAAAUUUUAAGUUAAAGUCUUCUUUAGGCACUAAAAAAGAGGAGAAAAAGUUGCCAAAGUGGUGCACGGCGAUUUGAUGUAGUGUGAUCCCUUUUCUGUCUAAUUAAAUAAUUAUCUAAACUUCUAAGCAAGUCACAGUGAUGGCGUUUAAUGUUUUGGUAGGUAUGGUUUUUCCCAGCAAAAUUACGGCAACCCGGUGUUUACUUUUGACUUGAUUGCUCGACCCGGGCAUCCUAAUCCGAAACCGGGAUUUUUUGAAAAUGUUGGAAUAAGCGAGACAACGGUGUCUUAGCAAUUUUGAAGCUAGCUAAAGUUUGGCAGAGCACGAGUUAAGACUUUGGUGGGCUUUUUCAAGAUAAAAUUGUUGAAAUCAAAGAUGUUUAUGGCUAGCUAGCUAAUCUUGGCUUUAUCACAAGAUUGGGUGCUAUUUUAUACAAUUUAUAAAGAAACACAACAUGAUUGCUUUGUAUAUAUUUAAUGUAUAUAAUAAACUAUUUAUGCACAA